CAUUAGUCUUUUGUGAUACAUUUUCAAUGAGUCAGGUUGUUUGGGAAUGCAGCCUAAAUUGGGAGGUAAAUCUCUCCUAAAGCUAAAUAUUUGCGAGAAACCGAUAGCGAACAAGUACCGUGAGGGAAAGAUGAAAAGAACUUUGAAAAGAGAGUUAAACAGUAUGUGAAAUUGUUAAAAGGGAACCGUUUGGAGCCAGUCUGGCUUUCCUAUAAUCAAUCUAGGCUUCGGCCUUGAUGCACUUGUAGGUUAUCGCCGGCCAACGACAAUUGGGAUCGCGAGGGAAAAAACCUUUGGAAAUGUAGCCAUUCUGCAAAGUUUGGUGUUAUAGUCCUUGGGAAAAUACCUUGUGCUCGAUUGAGGAUCGCAGUGAAUGCCUUUCGGGGCAGGAUGUGGUGAGGUAGGUUUGCUUGACCUAAGGUGACUUUCGGGUUGCUUUAGCGAUGGCUUACUC
rnacentral:rRNA from 1 species